AAAAACAAAAUAUGGCAAUUAAUCCCUCUUUGUUGUACUAUAAGAGUUGAAACUCGCCGGUGAGAUUCUCCCUCUCUCUCGUCGGAGAGACGAAGAAGAUAACAUACAGAGAGAGGAAUGGGACAAGAAGGGAAUUGGGAGUGUAGUAGUUGCGGUGAUAAGAAUUAUGCAUUCAGAUUUUUCUGCAAUAGGUGUAAGCAGCCUCAUCUCCUUGUUGACAAUACAACUCCUCAUGAUUCAAAGUGGUUUCCUCGAAUUGGGGAUUAGAUCUGUACUGGAUUUGGAUUUCAGUUGAUAAGCUUCGGUAGCCAAAUCGGUCAAGCUUUUAAAAUUGGUUCAUUUUGUACAGUGUUACCUCAACGAAGUACUUUUGGUGAAAUGGAAGCUAAGUUUCUGCUCAAGGCUCAUGUAAUAAGCUACCCGCCAAGUAGUGAAAAGUGUAGACCAAUUAGUUCAUAAUCGAGUUGGACUCACUUGCACCCGUUAAUACAUGUAUAUACUUAAUUAUGGAUCAUAUAAUUAAAUGUGCACUCUCAAAUAUAUAAGUUGAGUUGUUGCAUUGGUCCAACACUGUUCAUUGCGCUUCUUCGCAACUCACAAGCAUAGUGUGCUGAGUUCGAUUCUGGCUGUUGCAUUUUCA